rnacentral:misc_RNA from 1 species
GAAUAUUUACAUUGAACGAAACAUCACUUUAUAUACAUAUGUAGAUGUCUGUAUAUUUUUAACAGCUGGAGGUCCUUUAUGAACGGUUAACAAUUCACAAGUACUUAAAAUUGCCAGGCACAGGACUAAACAACAUUGAUUGAGUGGAUUAUUUCAAAAAGUAGCUGCAAUACAAUUUAAAUAAACGUCUCAUAUAAUACGAUGAGUUAAAUAAGUGGAUGUUGGACUUGAUGUAUAAGAUGUAUAUGUGAAAUGUCCGUUUGGCGUUGAUUGCAACAUUCUUUAUUGACAAGCCAUGCUAUGAAAGUUCAGGUUACUUCAUGAGCCACUUAUAUCAAGGACAACUUUAUUGAUAGGAUAUAUGCACUGGCUGGUGGUACAAGUUGAGUACAAUGUGAAGAAGGUGGUCGACACAAACAACAGGCAAUCGGCCGAAAUAUCACAAAAUAAACUAAGUAGGUCAGGAUAAAUAUUACACAUGGUGUUUGAGGAUGAUUAAACAGGAAUUUGAAAUUGCAUUCUUAAGUUGACUUCAUGAUAACUAAUUGGACCUCAUUCGGCAAAUACAAAUUUUCUGUGGAGUAGAGAAGCAAGUUCUAAAUGAUAUCACUGAAUAUCUGUCAAUGGGAAGAGAUGACGUUUAUCACGAUCAUAUUAUAGACCACACCAAUUGAACUAUUAUGUGUGUUGUGGGGAAUAUCGUUUUUAUGACCGUUAGUACCAAAAUCGACAUUUUCAAGUGCAGCGUCGGUACACAUGGUAAAACUGUCAAUUAAUUAGUAGAUGUAUAUUUAGUUUUAUUUGAGGAGUGGAAGAAUAUAUCUAAUACAACGGUGACUAAUUACUUCUGAUGUAUACACUAUAUCAUCUGAACCCACAGAUAUUUCUGGAUUUGCAUAUUAUACGACUGGUAAUCUAUAAUCUGACGGCGGAAAUUUCUAAUAUCGUCAAAAACCAUGCCUAAGAAGGUCAGCCUAGCCAAAAAGGGACGGAAGUCUUCAAAUCUAUUCAAACGAUCGAAUACGUACGAUUUGGAAACCUGUGGUACAUACAAUGAGGGGUAUGAUGGCCCACAUUCCCCUACGCUUUCAACAACUAAUGAAACAAUAUUAGGAACGGGUACAGGUACAUUCCGACGAAUUGGGGAUUCAUAUAUUGAUCUUCCAACCAUCGGACAAAGCAAUGACUCUGAUGAGAAAACAAAGGAGAGUUCUCAUGUGAUUAUAAGGGAUAGUGUAACGGAUGCUGGUGUAACGACUUCGCUUAACCGACCAAACAAUUCUCCUCCAUAUUCUCCAAAGGAUGAAGUGUCCUUAAAUGAUAUCUGUGUUAACUUUUCAAUUUCUCCUCAACCCCAGGAAAUAUCUGAAGACAUACAUGUAAAACCUAUCGUACAGUGCAUGAAAAUAGCAUCAUCGUUAGACCACAACCAGUCCGAGAAAUUAUUCUCACCCCAAGAACAUGAAAAGACCGUGGAAUUAUCAUCAUUGUCAGAUCAUGUACGUUCCUUGGAAUUAUCAUCGGCAUCAGAACAUAAAAAGUCUGUUAGAUUACCAUCAUCUUCAAAACAAAAACAGUCAGACCAUAAACAGACCGUGGACCUACAAUCAUCAUCAAAACAUAUCGAGAUGCUAUCAUCAACGGAUCAUGAACAAUAUAAGGACGAUCAAAAAUCCGCACCAUCAUCGAAUAAUGAAAUAUGUAAAAACGUGCCAAAACCAAAUCAAAGAAUUGAAAAUGAUCCUGGUGCAAAUAGAGAUUUAAUUCCAGAAUGUUGCAACAAACCAGAGAUUCAUAAAGCAAAUAGUUUAACUCAUUCAGUUGAAUCAGAAAAAUCACAUACUAGUGAACAGCAAAGCCAAUCUAGUGAUAAAAGUGAAAUUUGCAACGAACCCCAUAAUAAAAAUAUAGCCUUUCUAACUCCGUCCAAUAUUUCGAACCAAACUGAAUCAAAUGUUGAUAAAGAUGAAGCCAUUAAAUGUGAUGAUGUUGUUUUGCACGAAUCUAGUCCUGGAGAUACUGAACGUCUCAAACGUGACUCCAUAUCGGAAAAUGUACCUAAAAAGACCAGUAAACGGAUUUCAUUUGGAGGCACUGAAUAUAUUAACAUGGACCAUGAGGAAACAUCUAUCCAACGAGACCUACAUAUCAAUGCUAAUGUUCAUAUUGAAACAUCCACAAAUAAUAACGUACCAGAUAUUACCAAACUAAACGGAAAUACUCCAUCUACCAAAAAUGGCGGGACCACCUUUUUGAAAAACGGCUCCCUAAGAAAUGGAUCAUUACCAAGACAACAACAUGAAUAUAAAAGUAGAGAAGAGAUCCAAGAAAUGUUCCCAGCAAUUGCUUUAAGGAAGAAGAAGAAGCAAAGACGGAAAGUUGCAGUCGCUGAGAUUGAUCAACCUGACUUGGUUGCUUCAAGACCUGAAAUUUCAGCACCUCAAUCGCUUACGUUGUCAUCGAGGAGAGUAUCGUUCGCCGCUGAUCCGGAUCGGGAACAACCAACUUCAGAAAACGACAUUGAUGAGGAGAAUCCAAAACCACCACGAAGAAGGAGAUCUAUGAGACGACGUAGUAAAUGGUCACUACAAUACAUCAAGGAUCGAUUUGAAGACAAUGAGAUCGAGGAUCUGUACAAGAGAUAUUCACUACGGAUCCAGAGGGACACAUUGAUCGCCCUUCUUGUAAUUUUAGUAUUCUAUGGGGUUUCUCAGAUCCUCCUAAUCAACACAGUCGGAAUGGAAGAUAGUGCAGCUAGUAGAGAGAGUGCUCCUGGCACGAACAUUGUCAUGGGUGUAGGGAUAGGAGGAUCAUUAGUAGGAAUAGCACUGGUCUCAAUUAAACCCGUCUUCGUCAAGUUCAACAAACUCAUCGCUCUCUUCAUCUGGCUCUUCCUGAUGACAACCGUCUAUAUCUUUUUCACAUUUCAAACUGAUAAGCAAUCAUUUGACGAUGUACCCAUGAUAUUUUAUAUGAUCUUCAUUAUCCAUACAAUGAUGCCUAUGAACAGAAAAUGGGCUUUAAUUCUCGGAAGUCUCACUGGCGUUCUAGAUUUACUCGUCCAAGGUAUUCUUCUGCACGUCACUGAAAAUUUCAUUGUGUUUCUGACAGCUAAUCAGCUCGUUUGUAAUGGUUUGAUAUUCGUUUGUGCCAACCUAGUAGGAUUAUACCAUAAAUACUUAACAGAUCUUGCUCAUAGACAAACAUUCCUAGACACUCGAGACUUUAUUGAGGCCAACAUCAAGUUCAGCAGAAGAAGAGAAAAACAGAAUAAAAUGAGAGAAGGAUUGUUACAUAAGAUCAUACCCAAAUACCUCGUCGAAGAUAUCAAACAACUGUUAUUGAAGCGUCUCGUACAAUCCGAACCUGAUGCAACGGGGUUUUAUGACUUAAUGAUUCAACGCCAUGAGCAAGUCAGCAUUUUAUACGCGGAUAUAGUCAAUUUUACACCGCUAACUAAUGAACUAUCCCCAUACGAUCUCGUCAAUGCACUGAACGAACUAUUUGGGAGAUUCGACCAACUGGCCAAGGAGCACAACUGUAUGCGAAUUAAGAUCCUUGGAGACUGUUACUAUUGUGUAUCGGGUUUGCCUGAUCCUAUUCCAACUCACGCGAGAAACUGCGUUAGAAUGGGGCUCGAGAUGAUAAAGGUGAUCAGGGAAAUACGACAUAAAACUGGUGUUUGGACACUAGAUAUGCGCAUUGGUGUGCAUUCCGGGACUGUGCUAUGUGGUGUGCUAGGAUUGAGGAAAUGGCAAUAUGACGUUUGGUCGGAUGAUGUAACAAUAGCAAAUCAUAUGGAGUCGAGUGGAGAAGCAGGGAAGGUACACAUAACAAAAGCUACACUGAAAGAGCUUGGAAAAGAGGGAGAAGAAUUUGUUUGGAAUGAGGCACAUGGACAGGAAAGAGACACUGUUCUCAAGGAAAACAACAUCGAGACAUACUUCAUACAACCAAAAUCCGAGUCUGCUGAUGACGUCAAUGAUAAUACCGACGUAGCAAAGGGUCGACCAAAACGUCCCUUGGCAAGACGAUUCUCUGUGUAUGUGGAGAACUGGGGCGCCGAGAAACCAUUUGUCAGCCUCUCAGAUUAUAUGAUGGAGAAGACAAUGCCACUGUAUGUCUAUGGACAGGAGAUAGGAGAAGAGGAAGAGGCAGAGGUGAAGAAGAGAUUGGAGAGAGCAUUUCACCUUGAAGAGAAUGAUGAUAUUCAUGACUAUAAGGACUGGAUCAAGCUGGAAUCUGAUGAAAUAAGUGCAGUGACCCUGCUGUUUAAAAACACUGAAACAGAAAAUCAGUACUCUAACCUUCCAGACCCUCUGUUCAAAUAUUACAUCGUCUGUGCGUCUAUCAUAUACGCAUGUGUCGUGCUCAUCCAGUUUAUGAUCUUCAACACAUCAGUACUUCAGGUCUGUGUUUUUUCUGUUGGGAUUUUACUGUUCCUAGCUAUGAGUGUUUUUGGUAUGGCUGCUGAUAUUUCAUGUCUCAGAAGAACAUUUUUCUCAAGAGCGUCGGGCAAUAUCACUAGGAGUAAAUGGGCAAAGAUAUUAAUAUCAUUUACAACCAUAAUAUACCUGUUCACAUCAGCUAAUAUAAUAGCAUUUGAGUGUAAGGACGUCCAUGAUGAUCCAUAUAAUUGCACCAAUCAGACAGUCCAGUUAUUCAGAGAAAUGGUGGAGAUAUUGGCAGACGAGGGCGUCUGUGUAUUUGCACCGUAUUUUAUGUAUUCGAGUAUGCUGGCACUAACUGCAUGUAGCGUGUUUCUUCGCCUUAACUGGCUCAUAAAGAUUGCUUAUAUGGUUCUCGGCCUUCUCUCCUACAACUCACUCUUCCAUAUAGUCCUGGCACAUGUUUUUGACUUCUAUGAUGAAUGUCUAGGGCCUGAUAUUCUCCAACUGCGAGUGAGGGGAUCUUUCUAUCUCACGGUUAUGUUCGUCACUUUAAUUGUUCUAGACAGACAGACGGAGAGGAACAGUAGAUUGGACUUUCUUUGGCAAACAAAAAUUGAGCAGGAGAAAGACGAACUUGAACGUAGUGAAAUGCUUAACACAAUGUUAUUGGAGAAUAUUCUACCACGUCAUGUAGCGGAACACUUCUGCAGUCCUGAACUUGGCAAGGGGAGCGUGUAUCACAGGCAUUGUAAGAAUGUCUGUGUGAUGUUUGCCUCCAUACCUAACUACAUCCAUUACUUUUCAACUGUAGCAGGAACACAAGAGUCACUUAGGCUUCUUAAUGAAAUAAUCUCAGAUUUCGAUAAGUUGCUAGCAUUAAAAAGGUUUCGACAAGUGGAGAAGAUAAAGACGAUAGGUAGCACAUAUAUGGCUGCAACUGGGUUGAGUCCCGGGGAGAAUCUCAGAGAAGAGAAUGAUGAUCUGACAUCCAGUGAAAACACUAUAUUAAUGGCUAUGUUUGCCAGUGAAAUGAUGUCAAAACUGGCUGACCUAAGUAAUGACGUACUGUUCGAAUACAAACUCAGGAUAGGUAUUUGCCAUGGGGAUUUAAUAGCUGGAGUCGUGGGUGCAAGUAAGCCCCAAUAUGACAUUUGGGGAGACACUGUGAACGUAGCUAGCAGGAUGGAUACGUACGGCGUCAUUGGGCGGAUACAAAUGCCAGAGGCAACGGCGAACAUCCUGAUGAAGAAAAAAAUCUCUUGCGAGUUCCGAGAUACAAUCAGUGUCAAAGGCAAGGGUAAAAUGAAGACGUACUUACUCUCAGACACGAUUAGAAUGGAUACGGCCAAUGACUCGGUCAGAAGUGACGUAUACUUCCAGUACUUUGCUUAAAGAUUUACAAUGAACGAAAUACAGAAAUAUGGACCAUGCAACUGACUCAUAGUAUGUGUUCGAACCAAGCCCAAAUAUUUGGGAAUUGAAAUAUGACCAUGGAUUCGUCAAUUUAUCAAUUUUUAUUAAUUUUACUUAUGGCUCUUUAGUGUGGCUAGUACAGUAUUCAUCAAACAAACAACGAUUAAACAACCAAACAAACAAUCAAACUAACAAUCAAACAAACAGGCUGGCCCUGAAAGUGGUUAGAGACACUGCUGAUACAAAGCUGUGAUGGAAC